GACGAACGCUGGCGGCGUGCUUAACACAUGCAAGUCGAACGGAAAGGCCCUGCUUGCCGGGUACUCGCGUGGCGAACGGGUGAGUAACACAUGGGUGAUUUGCCCUGCACUUCGGGUUAAGCCUGGGAAACUGGGUCUAGUACCGGCUAGGAGCCAUUUUUAGUGUGAUGGUUGGAAAGUUUUUUCGGUGUAGGAUGAGCUGGCGGCCUAUCAGCUUGUUGGUGGGGUAAUGGCCUACCAAGGCGGCGACGGGUAGCCGGCCUGAGAGGGUGGACGGCCACAUUGGGACUGAGAUACGGCCCAGACUCCUACGGGAGGCAGCAGGGGGGAAGAUUGCACAAUGGGCGCAAGCCUGAUGCAGCGACGCCUCGUGGGGGAUAACGGCCUUCUGGUUGUAAACUCCAUUCGCUAGGGACGAAGCUUUUUGUGACGGUACCUAGAUAAGAAGCACCGGCUAACUACGUG
rnacentral:rRNA from 1 species